ACGGAAGGCAGCAGUGGGGAAUAUUGCACAAUGGGCGCAAGCCUGAUGCAGCAACGCCGCGUGAGGGAAGACGGUUUUCGGAUUGUAAACCUCUGUCUUUGGUGACGAAGAAGUGACGGUAGCCAAGGAGGAAGCCACGGCUAACUACGUGCCAGCAGCCGCGGUAAUACGUAGGUGGCAAGCGUUAUCCGGAAUUACUGGGUGUAAAGGGAGCGCAGGCGGGAUAGCAAGUCAGCGGUGAAAAUUAUGGGCUUAACCCAUAAACUGCCGUUGAAACUGUUAUUCUUGAGUGGAGUAGAGGCAGGCGGAAUUCCGAGUGUAGCGGUGAAAUGCGUAGAUAUUCGGAGGAACACCAGUGGCGAAGGCGGCUUGCUGGGCUCUAACUGACGCUGAGGCUCGAAAGUGUGGGGAGCAAACAGGAUUAGAUACCCUGGUA
rnacentral:rRNA from 1 species